GAAUUAAUUCACUUAGAUGUUCACAGGUUGUUGCGGUUUCCUUUGGGGUAGAGUGCCAGAUUUAUGCUAAUAGUUAUAGAUGACUUCUCGAGGAAGACGUGGGUGUUUGUGCUUAGGCACAAGUUCGAUGAUGUUGUCAAAUCAGGCAGGUAAAAGCUUUGAUCGAAAAUGAGACUGAUAAAAUGAUUAAGCAUGUAUGGACUGAUAGUAGUAUGAAGUUUUGCUUGAAGCUGUUACAUGAAUUCUGCAUGAAGGAAGACAUAAUGUGACACCGUACUAGUGCCAAUUAACCACAAUAGGUUGCAGAGUUAAUAAGAAAAACAUUACUAGAGACGGCCUAUAAAAUGCUCUCUAGUGCUGGUAUAAUUAGGAGAUUCCUUACGGAUGCGCUUAGUACAUCGAGCUCUCUGAUAAAUAGAUCCCCAUCGACUGCGAUUAGAUGUCGGACUCUCAAAGAAGUGUGGUCAGGUAACGUUGCUGUUUAUUCUGUUCUUAGAAUAUUUGGUUGCCCAUGUUAUGUUUGAGCAAGUGAUGGUAAGCUCGAUGGAAGGGCAAGAAAGUGCAUGUUCCUAGAUUAUGCACAAGGUGAGCAGUGUUAUAAGUUGUGGUGCCCGAAAUUAAAUUCACAUGUUGUCAGUGGAGAAGUUACAUUUGACGAGUCUUUAAUACUUCUGGCUAGGAGUGAUUUUAGCAAUGUUUAUAUGGAUUUGGACAGUGUUCAGCUUGAGGUGGAGUUGCAACCAAAAACUCUUGAGGUAUCGAGUACUAGCGUGAUAAUCGACACAGAUGGUGCUUGUAGCGAGGUAAGUAGGUUGUAUCGGAAAAUCCUUGUGGAGUAGUUAAAGGUGCAAGUGGAGUAGGUGUUUCGAUGAGGUCCACGGUUAUGGCAAAGUUCAAGCGAGGCUUUGAUUUGAAAGACGUAUGUGGCAGUUGAGCCCAUUUGGGUUGUGGGAGAGUAGUAGAGAAGUUCUGGCGAAGCGAUUAUGAUUUGGCUCAAACGUCGAGCCAAGGUGGAGAUUGUUAAAAUUAUGUCUCGAUUUUGAGCCCGAAAAAGAAAGUUUUCUAAUUCAAGUAAGUUUCCUAUUUUGAAUAA